rnacentral:rRNA from 1 species
AACGAACGCUGGCGGCAGGCCUAACACAUGCAAGUCGAGCGAGGACUUCGGUCCUAGCGGCGGACGGGUGAGUAACGCGUGGGAACGUGCCCUUUGCUUCGGAAUAGCCCUGGGAAACUGGGAGUAAUACCGGAUGAGCCCUUUGGGGGAAAGAUUUAUCGGCGAAGGAUCGGCCCGCGUUGGAUUAGGUAGUUGGUGGGGUAAUGGCCUACCAAGCCGACGAUCCAUAGCUGGUUUGAGAGGAUGAUCAGCCACACUGGGACUGAGACACGGCCCAGAUUCCUACGGGAAGCAGCAGUGGGGAAUCUUAGACAAUGGGGGAAACCCUGAUCUAGCCAUGCCGCGUGAGCGAUGAAGGCCUUAGGGUUGUAAAGCUCUUUCAGCUGGGAAGAUAAUGACGGUACCAGCAGAAGAAGCCCCGGCUAACUCCGUG